rnacentral:misc_RNA from 1 species
GAGAAGAACGUAGCGAAAUGCGAUAAGUAAUGUGAAUUGCAGAAUUCAGUGAAUCAUCGAAUCUUUGAACGCACAUUGCGCCCAUUAGUAUUCUAGUGGGCAUGCCUGUUCGAGCGUCAUUAAGUCCACUUAAGCCCUGCUUAGUGUUGGGAGACUGCUCCAGCGGUGCUACCCUGUAGCUACCCUGCAGCUCCUCAAAGACAGCGGCGGAGUUGUGGUAUCCUCUGAGCUUAGUAACUUGUUCUAGCUUUCGAGUACACCACUUCCCCUGCCGUAAAACCCUUAAUUUUUAAUGGUUGACCUCGGAUCAGGUAGGAAUACCCGCUGAACUUAAGCAUAUCAAUAAGCGGAGGA